GCCCGAGGCUGUGGGCGGUCCGUGCUGACAGCCUGAGCAAGCUGGUGGAGCCGGGGCAGGCCCUCUCCCAUGGCCCCUCUCCCGGAGCACCUCCCAAGGAACGCCCCCCAGCCCUUCCCACACCUGCUGCUCACAAAAGGUGGGGGUCCUCCGGGAACCCUAGACGACAAAGCAGAGAUGGGCACAGGACCUUGCGUGGGACGCCCUGCGGGCCUCCUCUAGAUGGGGAUCCCUCUGCUCUCAUUGUCCGAAGGAUGACGGGCCUUAGGAUGAAGAAGAGCCCCUGUCUCCAAGGGCCAUCGCCUCCGUUCUGGGCAC